rnacentral:rRNA from 1 species
UACGUAGGUCCCGAGCGUUGUCCGGAUUUAUUGGGCGUAAAGCGAGCGCAGGUGGUUUAUUAAGUCUGGUGUAAAAGGCAGUGGCUCAACCAUUGUAUGCAUUGGAAGCUGGUAGACUUGAGUGCUGGAGAGGAGAGUGGAAUUCCAUGUGUAGCGGUGAAAUGCGUAGAUAUAUGGAGGAACAUCAGUGGCGAAGGCGGCUUACUGGACUGUAAAUGACGCUGAGGCUCGAAAGCGUGGGGAGCAAACAGG